rnacentral:rRNA from 1 species
AGUGAACGCUGGCGGUAGGCCUAACACAUGCAAGUCGAACGGCAGCACAGUAAGAGCUUGCUCUUACGGGUGGCGAGUGGCGGACGGGUGAGGAAUACAUCGGAAUCUACUUUUUCGUGGGGGAUAACGUAGGGAAACUUACGCUAAUACCGCAUACGACCUACGGGUGAAAGCAGGGGAUCUUCGGACCUUGCGCGAUUGAAUGAGCCGAUGUCGGAUUAGCUAGUUGGCGGGGUAAAGGCCCACCAAGGCGACGAUCCGUAGCUGGUCUGAGAGGAUGAUCAGCCACACUGGAACUGAGACACGGUCCAGACUCCUACGGGAGGCAGCAGUGGGGAAUAUUGGACAAUGGGCGCAAGCCUGAUCCAGCCAUACCGCGUGGGUGAAGAGGGCCUUCGGGUUGUGAAGCCCUUUUGUUGGGAAAGAAAAGCAGCAGGUUAAUACCCCGCUGUUCUGACGGUACCCAAAGAAUAAGCACCGGCUAACUUCGUG